GCUGGAAGGGACCUCCCUUCAGGCCAAGGAGCCCCGCCUCGCCAGAAUCCCGCCCACCCCCUCCCGCAAGGCGCCGGAGCCCUCUGCCCUGUCUGAGGUCUCCAGGCGUCCUCCCUCGGA